GUGGAAAUUUCUCAACGGCCGCGGUAUCUUGACCGUGCAAAGGUAGCAUAAUCACUUGUCUUUUAAAUGAGGACCUGUAUGAAUGGCUUUUCAUUUUUUAACUGUCUCCCUUCUUAAUCAUCUAAACUUCUAUUCACGUGAAGAAGCGUGAUUAAAAAAGCUAGACGAGAAGACCCUGUCGAGCUUUAACUAACCUUAUAAAAUAAUAAUAAUUCUAUGAAUACUUAAUAUUUAUAAGUUAAGUUUUGGUUGGGGCAACCAUGGAGAAAAAUAAUCCUCCAGUUUAAUAGAAAGAAAUUAAUUCAUCUAUAAAAUUUUUAAUGAACCAAUAAUUUUGAAAUCAGAAAAAGUUACCGCAGGGAUAACAGCGUUAUCUUCUUUAAGAGCUCAUAUUGACAAGAAGGAUUGCGACCUCGAUGUUGGAUUGGGAUAACCAAAGGGUGUAGCAGCUCUUAAAGGUUGGACUGUUCGUCCAUUAAAUUCCUACAUGAUCUGAGUUCAGACCG
rnacentral:rRNA from 1 species